rfam:Brassica oleracea var. oleracea cultivar TO1000 chromosome C3, whole genome shotgun sequence
AGAAUAUAAGAGUCCGCCUUUUAACUUUUAACUAAAAAACUAAUAACCGGCUCUUAAAUAAGAGUUUUAAGAGUCGGUUCUUAGUUUUUUUAGUUAAAAGCUAAGAGACGGAUUCUUAUAUUCC